UACGAAGGGGGGCUAGCGUUGCUCGGAUUGACUGGGCGUAAAGCGCGUGUAGGCUGUCUCGCAAGUCGGAUGUGAAAGCCCUGGGCUCAACCUAGGAAGUGCAUUCGAAACUGCGAGACUUGAGUCCUGGAGAGGAAGGCGGAAUUCUCGGUGUAGAGGUGAAAUUCGUAGAUAUCGGUAGGAACACCAGUGGCGAAGGCGGUCUCCUGGAGCAGACUUGACGCUGAGGCGCGAAAGCUGGGGGAGCGAACGGG
rnacentral:rRNA from 1 species